UACGUAGGGUGCGAGCGUUGUCCGGAAUUAUUGGGCGUAAAGAGCUCGUAGGCGGUGUGUCACGUCGUUCGUGAAAACCUGCAGCUUAACUGUGGGCGUGCGGUCGAUACGGGCAUCACUGGAGUUCGGCAGGGGAGACUGGAAUUCCUGGUGUAGCGGUGAAAUGCGCAGAUAUCAGGAGGAACAUCAGUGGCGAAAGCGGCUUCCUGGACCAGAACUGACGAUCAGGCUCGAAAGCGUGGGGAGCAAACAGG
rnacentral:rRNA from 1 species